rnacentral:rRNA from 1 species
AACGAACGCUGGCGGCAGGCCUAACACAUGCAGGUCGAACGAGAUCUUCGGAUCUAGUGGCAGACGGGUGAGGAACACGUGGGAACAUCCCUUUCAGUUCGGAAUAACGUUGGGAAACUAACGCUAAUACCGGAUCAGUCCUUCGGGAGAACGAUUUAUCGCUGAAAGAUUGGCCCGCGUCUGAUUAGCUAGUUGGGGAGGUAAUGGCUCACCAAGGCUACGAUCAGUAGCUGAUCUGAGAGGAUGAUCAGCCGCAUUUAGACUGAGACACGGCCCAAACUCCUGCGGGAGGCAGCAGUGGGGAAUAUUGGACAAUGGGGGAAACCCUGAUCUAGCCAUGCCGCGUGAUCGAUGAAGGCCUUAGGGUUUUAAAGAUCUUUCAGUGGUGAAGAUAAUGACUGUACCCACAGAAUAAGCCCCGGCUAACUCCGUGCCUGCCGCCGCCGUAA